AUUGAACGCUGGCGGCAGGCCUAACACAUGCAAGUCGAGCGAGCGGCGGACGGGUGAGUAAUGUCUGGGAAACUGCCUGAUGGAGGGGGAUAACUACUGGAAACGGUAGCUAAUACAGCAUACCAUCAGAUGUGCCCAGAUGGGAUUAGCUAGUAGGGGGGGUAAAGGCUCACCAAGGCGACGAUCCCUAGCUGGUCUGAGAGGCUGACCAGACACACGGGAACGGAUAUACGGUCGAGACUGCUAAGGGAGGGAGAAGUGGGGAAUAUGGCAAAAUGGGCGCAAGACUGAUGCAGCCAUGCCGCGGGUGUGAAGAAGGCCUUUGGGUUGUAAAGUACUUUCAGCGGGGAGGCGUUACCCGCAGAAGAAGCACAGGCUAACGCCGUGCCAGCAGCCGCGGUAAUUC
rnacentral:rRNA from 1 species